AACUCUCAACAACGGAUAUCUUGGCUCUUGCAACGAUGAAGAACGCAGCGAACUGCGAUACGUAGUGUGAAUUGCAGAAAACCGUGAACCAUCGAAUCUUUGAACGCAUAUUGCGCUGGAGGCUUCGGCCAACAGCAUGUCUGCCUCAGCGUCG
rnacentral:rRNA from 1 species